AGCGCGCUGGUUACGAGCCGGGAACGAGCUGGCAAAGAGCACGCGCAUUUUUUGCCAGCUGGGCGGUGCGGAGCUGUAAGGGAAACACACAAAUUAAUUGGGAGACGCAGACUGAUGCAACAAAAACCACACUUGUUUAAUCAGCUACCAUCUCUCCUAUGGACUUUUUAAUGUCUACAGUCUUAGAUCAACACAGCCCUGCCGUCCAGCUCUAUCAGCAGUAACCCCUCAACAACAACAUUGUGCCCCAUCAGGAGGAAACAGCGAUGAGGACAAAAACACACGCCUCCUCUCUGCCAAAACUGGAGAUGUGCAGAGGCUGUAACUAGGACAGGAGGACCCCCAGAGACUCCCAGAGGUACUCACAGCUGCCCUUGGCCUCACAUAAGUUUCCAGGGGAAAGGGUAAACAGUAGCUGAUUGGCCCGUCAGCAUUCUUCACAUUGUAAUUUUUUUUUCACCAUUUUCAAAUUCAUCCAUUUUCUGCAACCAUUUGUCCUAGUCAGAAUUGCAGGGGGUCCGGAGCUUAUCCCAGAGGCUAUGUGCACAAAGCAGGGUAAAACCAAGGAUGGGGCGCCAACCCAUCCCAGAGCACACUCACACACCAUUCACUCACACAUGCACACCUACAAGCAAUUUGGUAACUCCAAAAUUUAGGACCCAUGCAAUUGACUCCAGAUGAAAACUGAAUUUUGCACAAACAAAAAAGCAUAUCAGGCCUCUCGCCUUACUGUCGGCCCACACAUGCUCCACAAAGGCUGAACUAAGUCAUGAUGUGGUUCUGGAGAGCUGUUAACCCUCCAGAGAUAUUCUGGCUCUGCAGUUAUUCCUUGUGUAUUUACACAGAACUUGCCCAAAAUGCUCUGAAAAGUCGUCCCCUUGUCAGAUGGUGGAUGCGGUUAUUAAGAAGAAUCAACCUUCAAAAAUGCACUAGAUGGCAGCUCUGAAUGAAUGUGCAAUUUCAGGCAUGGAAGCAUCCACAGCUGUUACAAAGAUGAUAUUUGUAUUAGUGAUGGGCACCAUUGCACACACCAGCAAAUGAAGAUUUACGGUUAGUUUGUUAUUCUGUUAUGGUGCAAAUUAGUUUGAAUAUGAUUGAGAGCUGAGAAAAUGUAAGAGUCAUAAAUUAUGCGGGGUGCUAACUAUUUCCUUUAACUAUUUCUGUGUGUAUUUACCCUGUUGCAAUAUAGUACAUGAAUAUAUAGAUCUAGUCUGGCUAGGGGUCUUUUAUUGCUAGUGUUCAAACAACUUUGCCUGUAAAUCCAAAUCAUUCAAUAUGUGCCGCAUCAUGCUGGUAACUUAGGCUCUGUGGACAAACUGCAGAUACAGUACACCCUAAAAAGAAAGGUAUCCUAUUUAAGGACACGUAAAAUAUUGAGCGGUUUCUCUAUUUCAACACCGGAAAGGUAAGCAAACGAGGUCCGAGUCCAAUUUUAUCCGUAUGGAUUUUUCUUGCUUGCUCCACGGGGAUUGUUAUUAGCAGAGAGUCAUUUAAAUGUCAGAGCACUCGAUGACUUUCACUCCAUCUUCAGAGUGAGAUAAUGGCACCCGGUGAAAGUGAACACCCAGCUCUUUGCACAUGGGUGAGAUUCCACACACAUAUUUAGAGGCUGUAACUCAUUAAGCGGAGGUAAGUAAACAGGGACUUUCUGGCUGCUUAGAAGGGGACAUAGACCCCACUGAGAAGAAGGCAGCAUUUAUUUAAAUAAGUCAUGCAGCCCUUGUGGUCACUUGCCUCGCAUGAGAUCUGGGUGUCCUUGAUAAUUUUGUGAUACUGACAAAAUUCAAUACUAACAUGUGUAAGAUCCAAUUUACAUUUUUAACAGUAGUCAUAUACUGUACAAACAUCUUUGUUGAAAGUUAUUAAGGCGAGACGGGACCGGAAAGUGAAUUGUAGUUUCAUUGAGCAGUGGCCUGAAAAAAAGGAGCCUGAAACUGAGUUUGUGUGACACAGAACAUUUGACUGCCUGCUAAAGUGAGACCAAUAUCAUAGGUCCUAUAAGAGACGGACAAGUGGCCGAUUUCAGAGGUCCUAUAAGAUACGGACAAGCGGCCGAUUUCAGAGGUCCUAUAAUAGACGGACAAGCGGCCGAUUUCAGAGGUCCUAUAAGAGACGGACAAGUGGCCGAUUUCAGAGGUCCAACAAGAUAUGGACAAGUGGCCGAUUUCAGAGGUCCUAUACUGUAAGAGACGGACAAGUGGCUGAUUUCAGAGGUCCCAUAAGAGACGGACAAGUGGCUGAUUUCAGAGGUCCUACAAAAUAUGGACAAGUGGCUGAUUUCAGAGGUCCUAUAAGAGACGGACAAGUGGCUGAUUCUACAGAAAUCCUAUAAAAGGCCAAUUCAUUAAAAUGAUAAUAUACAUAUUGUUGAUUGUCAGUUUUUCACUUAUUUUUGUAAUGUGGUUAGGCUCUAUAUUAAUCUGACUAAAACAUCCACUUCAGCACCACUUCAUGAUAAAGGUCUAAAUGAUACAAGCUGAAUGAUGAUUAUUAAAAGUAAUUAGUACUGUGUACUUGUCAUUGAGUGUAUCCUUCACUGUUAUGAAAAGUUCAGUGUACUAUUUUCAAAGCCAAUAGCCUUUUACCAAUUUUUGAAACGGCCUUCAAAGAGCUCAAAGGUGAAGGACUCAACUCCAUUGGCUAAAGCUUCCUAGUGAUCAGCCUGUGGUUCGAGCCCUGGUGAUGAAACAUGACUAACAUCUUAACUUCAAGGUCACGAGGAUCUAACUCAGCACGAGGUUCUCAGCUUGCUGACGUAUAAGGUGGCUUUGUUGAUCUGUUAGGUUGCAAGCUGCUGGUUAUUGCUGAUGGGGGGGCAGGUGUUAAGCUUCAAUCGGGGCCGUGCCCCCCUACAUGUCUAUGAAAUUGAUUCAAAGCAUGAAGAAAGGGUGGGGUGACAGCGGUGUGAAUCCGAGGAGCUUAGCAUAUCAUAGCUUAUCAUCUGUUUCCUAGCAGCUUGGAAGCUGAUUAUUAAAUAAUGAAUUAUUCAUAAGUAAAGUCAUAGUAAAUAAUGAAAAACAACAUUUUAAAAAUGGCCGGACAAACCCAACUACCCUUCAGAAGCUCUUGUUCUAUGUAGCUAGUACCAACAUUAACGUCACUGGACUCUUGUCUAAACAGUCUGAAACCUCUUGCAGAGGUUUAUAGAACUUGUAGAGGUUUAUAGAUCUAAUAGAACUUUGCAUUAAGAUUUUAGAAGCAAUGAUUCCAUGUGUAAAGCUGUAAGCACAAGCAGCCAGAUUUUACAGCGCCUUCGUACCCUAACAAGCUCCGUUAAUAUGGCGAAGAUGUGCACCACGGACCAACGUGAGGCAGCAGGGGCUGAGGAUGCUGUGGAGAUUCAGCACAGGGCCCAUCUGUUUCUGUCAACAUGUCAGUAGGACGACUCCAGCAACAGUCACCGCUCCAUGCUCAAGGCCCCUGCUGGACGUCGCGUGGAAAAGUGCGGUGACGCACGAAGCGGGCAGUCAACAUCCUCUCCGUCGCAGGUGUACGCAUGCACACAGACACUCACGCACAGCGAUCUUAUUGGCUGUGAGGAUCAGUAGGAUUACUGAGGCUCUGUAUUUUCUCACGCAGGGGAUGUUUUGCUUGGUCUGUGCCAACAAUUAACAACGUGAAGGAUUUCACUGCUUUUCAUUUCCGUGCUCACAUAAUGGUUGUUGGAACAAUGCAAAUAUCCAUAUUUGUAAAAGAACUAAUGUUGUAUAGCCACUAACAUAGAGUAUAGUGGUGUGCUAAUAUUAACUGGUACUUUUUAUUGAUCCCCAUGGGGAAAAUCUCUUUUUGCAUCCACCAACUUGCUCUCUGUGGGUGCCCCCCUACUGGCCUACUGCCCCCUACUGGUCCGGCAUUAUUAAAUAUUAUGGUGAUGAUCUGUAGCUUUGAGCUGCAACACAUCAUCAUAGUCAAGUUAAAACAAGUAGUUAUAGUACAGGUGAUUAAAUAUGAAUAAAUUUAGACAUUAAGAAGAACAUCUGUAUGCUAAAAUGAAUUGGAGUUUGGGGUGGAUGCAAGAUGCCUCUUCCUAGCCCACCAAUUUGUCUACUAUCUUUGUAAUCAUGGAAUAUACCUAAAUGUCAUGCUGGGGUACAGAUGCAGUGCAGCGAACUGAAUCAUGAUUUUCGAUUUUGACAGUCGAAACAUUAUAACAAUAAUGCAAUAUAAAUAUAGUAUAAUAAAAAGUUAUGAAAAGGAAACCACAUAUCGUAUUGAAAAAUGACCAAAUGCUAGUAUUCAGUCUGUCUGUUUCAAUAUAAGAUAUGCUGGUAUGAAGGU